rnacentral:rRNA from 1 species
CAACCUGCCUUACACUCUUGGACAGCCUUCUGAAAGGGAGAUUAAUACAAGAUGUUAUCAUGAGUAAGCAUUUUCGCAUGAUUAAAGGUUUACCGGUGUAAGAUGGGGAUGCGUUCCAUUAGAUAGUAGGCGGGGUAACGGCCCACCUAGUCUUCGAUGGAUAGGGGUUCUGAGAGGAAGGUCCCCCACAUUGGAACUGAGACACGGUCCAAACUCCUACGGGAGGCAGCAGUGAGGAAUAUUGGUCAAUGGACGAGAGUCUGAACCAGCCAAGUAGCGUGAAGGAUGAAGGUUCUAUGGAUUGUAAACUUCUUUUAUACGGGAAUAAACGGAUCCACGUGUGGAUUUUUGCAUGUACCGUAUGAAUAAGGAUCGGCUAACUCCGUGCCAGCAGCCGCGGUAAUACGGAGGAUCCGAGCGUUAUCCGGAUUUAUUGGGUUUAAAGGGAGCGUAGAUGGGUUGUUAAGUCAGUUGUGAAAGUUUGCGGCUCAACCGUAAAAUUGCAAUUGAUACUGGCAGUCUUGAGUACAGUUGAGGUAGGCGGAAUUCGAGGUGUAGCGGUGAAAUGCUUAGAUAUCACGAAGAACUCCGAUUG